rnacentral:rRNA from 1 species
AGAGUUUGAUCCUGGCUCAGGACGAACGCUGGCGGCGUGCUUAACACAUGCAAGUCGAACGGAAAGGCCCUUCGGGGUACUCGAGUGGCGAACGGGUGAGUAACACGUGGGUGAUCUGCCCUGCACUUUGGGAUAAGCCUGGGAAACUGGGUCUAAUACCGAAUAUGACCAUGCGCCUCCUGGUGUGUGGUGGAAAGCUUUUGCGGUGUGGGAUGGGCCCGCGGCCUAUCAGCUUGUUGGUGGGGUAAUGGCCUACCAAGGCGACGACGGGUAGCCGGCCUGAGAGGGUGACCGGCCACACUGGGACUGAGAUACGGCCCAGACUCCUACGGGAGGCAGCAGUGGGGAAUAUUGCACAAUGGGCGCAAGCCUGAUGCAGCGACGCCGCGUGAGGGAUGACGGCCUUCGGGUUGUAAACCUCUUUCAGCACAGACGAAGCGCAAGUGACGGUAUGUGCAGAAGAAGGACCGGCCAACUACGUGCCAGCAGCCGCGGUAAUACGUAGGGUCCGAGCGUUGUCCGGAAUUACUGGGCGUAAAGAGCUCGUAGGUGGUUUGUCGCGUUGUUCGUGAAAACUCACAGCUUAACUGUGGGCGUGCGGGCGAUACGGGCAGACUUGAGUACUGCAGGGGAGACUGGAAUUCCCGGUGUAGCGGUGGAAUGCGCAGAUAUCAGGAGGAACACCGGUGGCGAAGGCGGGUCUCUGGGCAGUAACUGACGCUGAGGAGCGAAAGCGUGGGGAGCGAACAGGAUUAGAUACCCUGGUAGUCCAA